rnacentral:ncRNA from 3 species
UGCGGGGCUAGGGCUAACAGCAGU